UCCAGACUCCUACGGGAGGCAGCAGUGGGGAAUAUUGCGCAAUGGGCGAAAGCCUGACGCAGCGACGCCGCGUGAGGGAUGAAGGUCUUCGGAUCGUAAACCUCUGUCAGCAGGGAAGAACGGUCACUGUGCUAAUCAGCAGUGAAUUGACGGUACCUGCAAAGGAAGCACCGGCUAACUCCGUGCCAGCAGCCGCGGUAAUACGGAGGGUGCGAGCGUUAAUCGGAAUUACUGGGCGUAAAGCGCUCGUAGGCGGUAUGUCAAGUCAAGGGUGAAAUCCCCGCGCUCAACGUGGGAACUGCCCUUGAUACUGCAUGACUGGAAUCCGGGAGAGGGUGGCGGAAUUCCAGGUGUAGGAGUGAAAUCCGUAGAUAUCUGGAGGAACAUCAGUGGCGAAGGCGGCCACCUGGACCGGUAUUGACGCUGAGGUGCGAAAGCGUGGGGAGCAAACAGGAUUAGAUACCCCUGUA
rnacentral:rRNA from 1 species